rnacentral:rRNA from 1 species
ACGUAGGAGGCGAGCAUUACCCGGAUUCACUGGGUGUAAAGCGCAUGCAGGCGGUUCGGUAAGUUGGGCGUGAAAUCUCCCGGCUCAACUGGGAGAGGUCGUUCAAUACUACCGGACUUGAGAGCGGUAGAGGAAAAUGGAAUUCCCGCUGUAGUGGUGAAAUGCGUAGAGAUCCGGAGGAACACCAGAGGCGAAGGCAGCACCUUGGGCCGUACCUGACGCUAA